rnacentral:misc_RNA from 1 species
GAUGAAGAACGCAGCGAAAUGCGAUAAGUAAUGUGAAUUGCAGAAUUCAGUGAAUCAUCGAAUCUUUGAACGCACAUUGCGCCCGCCAGUAUUCUGACGGGCAUGCCUGUUCGAGCGUCAUUUCAACCAUCAAGCCCCCGGCUUGUGUUGGGGACCUGCGGCUGCCGCAGGCCCUGAAAUGCAGUGGCGGGCUCGCUGUCACUCCGAGCGUAGUAGUUACAUCUCGCUCUGGGCGUGCUGCGGGUUCCGGCCGUUAAAAGCCUUAUUUACCCAAGGUUGACCUCGGAUCAGGUAGGAAGACCCGCUGAACUUAAGCAUAUCAAUAAGCGGAGGA